AGAAUCAACGCUGGCGGCGUGCCUCAGACAUGCAAGUCGAACGCGAAAGCCCCCCUUCGGGGGGCAAGUAGAGUGGCGCACGGGUGAGUAACACGUAGGUAAUCUACCUUCGGAUGGGGGAAUAACAAUCGGAAACGGUUGCUAAUGCCGCAUAAUGCAGCGGCACCUAAUGUAGACAGUUGUUAAAGCGGGGGAUCGAAGACCUCGCGUCUGAAGAGGAGCCUGCGGCGGUAUUAGCUAGUUGGUAGGUGACGGCUACCAAGGCAACGAUCCGUA
rnacentral:rRNA from 1 species